rnacentral:lncRNA from 1 species
AUGACAAGGAAGAGGGAGUAUCCUAGGGAGACCCUAAAGAGCUAUGAAAUUUCCCACGGUGUCCCUAGGGACAGUGUUGGGGAAAAAGAUGAAUUGCUUCAGCUCAGUCCAUUUUUAAGACAUUCUGUUCUGAAGAGGACAUUCAAUGUCACUCUACCAAAUCCUUCCCUGAUCAAGAGAGAAAACACUUUUACUACAGGACAAAAAGCCAAACAAAAACGCUCAGGAAGCAAAGUAAAAUCUUCUAAAUGGUCACAUUGCCAUUACAAAUGA